GAUGAACUCUAGCUACAGGCUUAACACAUGCAAGUCGCGGGGCAGCAUGGGGGUUGCUUGCAAUCCCCGAUGGCGACCGGCGCACGGGUGAGUAACGCGUAUCCAACCUGCCCUUCACCACGGGAUAACCCGGCGAAAGUCGGACUAAUACCGUAUGUUGUCCAUUGACGGCGUCCGAUUUGGACGAAAGGUUUGGCGGUGAAGGAUGGGGAUGCGUCCGAUUAGCUGGACGGCGGGGUGACGGCCCACCGUGGCGACGAUCGGUAGGGGUUCUGAGAGGAAGGUGCCCCACAGUGGAACUGAGACACGGUCCAGACGCCUAGGGGAGGGAGCAGUGAGGAAUAUUGGUAAAUGGGCGUAAGCCUGAACCAGCCGAGUAGCGUGCAAGAGGACGGCCCUAUGGGUUGUAAACUGCUUUUAUGCGGGGAUAAAGUGGCCCACGUGUGGGUUUUUGCAGGUACCGCAUGAAUAAGGACCGGCUAAUUCCGUG
rnacentral:rRNA from 1 species